CUGGUGGUGCGGCUCUGUGUGCCUGAGCGCGCCGUUCAACUGUCACGCACCGCAGCUACCCUAUCAACUCCUCCUCCGGCGCGCUCCCUGUGGCUAAACCAAACACCUCCAGCACCGGCAGCAGGACCCGGCUUGUGCUGCUCACAUUUUGAUUAUCCAUCAUUGACUGACUGCCUCAGCUGUGGACCGGGGAGCAUUAAGCCAUCUGACAGCAGUAACCAACUCUAUCAUCUCCACUAGAGGGAGGGCUAUCUCACAACAAGGCCACCAAGGAGCUGCAGCAGAGCCUGGGGUCAGCAGGUAGUGAGUCAGUACAAGUGAAUGAGAGAGCUCCUGAUCCCCUGCGAGCGAGCCUGUCAGCGUGGCCCUGAGUGGGCUGUAUGGAGCUUCUGUCAGAGGGUGUCACAUUUCCACGGUCCACACUGUGGCCCUCUGUCCUGCUCGUGGCUGGAUCUCAAUGGGCCCUUUGAUGGCCCACCCGAGGCCUUUCAUCGUGCACCUUGCCACGGAGCACGAGGCCUGGCAGGAGAGGGGCGAAGGGGGGGUUGUUCGCGCCGCACAACACCUGGCAGGAGGGAAAAGAACAGGAUGAUACUGAGCAGCACUAAAACAUGGGCUGUCACAGGAGAUGCAAUUCAUGGACAUUUUCAAAAACUUUUCCAUGACAUUCAAGGACCCAUAAAAUGUUCAUGAAGAUUCAAGACCUGUUAGUACACAUACAGAAUAUACUAAAAUUAAGUACGUUUUUGUGUGUUACACAGUUAUGUUCAUGUUCACUUUACUUAACUUAAAUUUCAUGCUGGAAAAAGUAAAGGAACCUUGGAAAUUAUACUUAAAUCAGGAGAGAUGUUAAUUAUGACAGAUGAAAUUUGACAAGUGAUGUGAUAUGGGAAGUCUUGAUGGACAUUUUUUGCGCUUUGAAUCUGCGGAAACUUCUGGGAUUGACAGCAACGAGAUAAUGAGCAAGCAUGCAUGAGGAGAGCGAAUGACAGGGCUGUAUGACUUACAUGUAUGUUGUGCAAUCCAAGUUACCAUGCAAUUGUAUUUAUAUACAGUAUUUUUAUACAUUUCUAGUGUAUUACUACAUGCUAAGUUUGUAUUACAAUUAUGAAUAAAUGGACUUGAAUUUCUAUUGCACUU